rnacentral:piRNA from 1 species
AUCGUUGGGUGCAUCAAAAGU